rnacentral:rRNA from 1 species
UACGUAGGGUGCAAGCGUUUAAUCGGAAUUACUGGGCGUAAAGCGUGCGCAGGCGGUUUUGUAAGUCAGAUGUGAAAGCCCCGGGCUCAACCUGGGAACUGCGUUUGAAACUACAAGGCUAGAGUGUAGCAGAGGGGGGGUAGAAUUCCACGUGUAGCAGUGAAAUGCGUAGAGAUGUGGAGGAAUACCAAUGGCGAAGGCAGCCCCCUGGGUUAACACUGACGCUCAUGCACGAAAGCGUGGGGAGCAAACAGG